rnacentral:rRNA from 1 species
UACGGGGGGGGCAAGCGUUGUUCGGAAUUACUGGGCGUAAAGCGUGCGCAGGCGGGCUUUUAAGCCAGACGUGAAAUCCCCGGGCUUAACCUGGGAAUGGCGUUUGGGACUGGGAGUCUGGAGUGCGGCAGAGGAGACUGGAAUUCCUGGUGUAGCAGUGAAAUGCGUAGAUAUCAGGAGGAACACCGGUGGCGAAGGCGGCGACCUGGGUAGAUACUGACGCUGAGGCGCGAAAGCGUGGGGAGCAAACAGG